rnacentral:lncRNA from 1 species
CAGCUGGCCUGGUCUUGCUGCUUCCUUUAGCGGCUUCCAAGGUCCAGGGACAGGGGGUCUGGGCCACCAAGAGGCUCUGCUAGGCUGUCCCUGCAGCCACAGCCACCCCACUGGAUCCCUGCCUCCCAUCUGAGAGGAUAGCCCUCUUCCUGGAGCUGGGAUCUGACACUUGCUGAUACCAACGGCAGAUACCAGGUGAGGAAACUGAGGCUCAGAGAAGAAACAUCAUUUUCCCAGUGAGCCAAGGCAAUGGUGUUAGAACUAUCUCUACCUGGCUCCAGAGCUGGUGUUUAUGCCCCUGCACCGAUACGGCCUUCCAUGAAGCCCGGCCCAGAAAGCUUUGGAGUCUGGUUACAUCUCUCCCACGCAGGCCUGGCCUUCUCAGGACAAGAGGUAACGAGAUGUGAGCAGAAACAACCUGUGUCACACCUGGGCAGAAGCUUUAAAGGCCAGUGCUGCCCUUGUUGGGGAAGCAAGUAUAGAUAUGAAUCGUUCCACAACGCGGAGCGCCCCCUGCCGACCCAUGCUGGGCGUGUACUAUAGAUGAGGAGACUGAGGAUCAGAGAGAUAAAGUCACCUGUCCAAGUUCAUACUGUGGAUGUAGCUCUAACCCAAGCCCUCCUGACUGCAGCACAAAUUCUCAGCCACUACCCUAUUAGCCCCUUCAUUUGAAGCUGUCUUCAUCAUUGCCAAGAUUCCUUUUCCUCCCGGCCCCCUAAGUCUUCAGGAUUCCCUCAUCUCAUCUCCCCAGAGAAGCCAUGACACAAUCUUCUCCAAAAACAAAGUCAGCGCUUUCACUGUAGAUGGACCUGUGUUCUUCCCCAAAACUCAGUCCACCUCAUCUCCAGAAAAACUAUAUGACUUGCCCUGGAGAAGAGGGGGAAAAAAAAACUUCUUCCCACCAACUCCACCUCCCAAAUUACUGGAUUUGGGGUAAAUUUACAGGCUGGAGACAGAAGAAUGGAUGUGUAUUUAGCUUUCAAAUUGACUAUUGUUUUAUGUGAAUGUCUGAUAAAGAAAACACAAUGGCUGCCAGAUGGGGGCUGGGAGUGAGAUUUCUCAUGUGGAGAAUUCUAGAAGACAUGCCUGGAGUUCUGGAGCCUGGAUCCUCUGGACAGACAGGUGGCCAGGCAACCAGGGUGGAGGCACCAAAGAUAACUGUGGGGUGGGGAGAAGACACCAGCGCAAGAGAUUUGACUGGGAUUGGUCUACGCAAGAAUGGAAAAUGGAGGCAGAAUGAGUUAGCAGCAAGCACACGUACGCUGCUAUAGAAUCUGAGGGACCCGGCCAGUGCUGGCCAAUAGAAAUAGAAUGUGAGCCACAGACAUAAUUUAAACUUUUCUUGUAGUCACUUAAAAACAUGGUAAAUCUAUGAAAUAGAAGAUUGCUCGUGCAAAUAAAUGAACUCCGCUUUGGUCUCAGUGAUCAGGGGUCCCACUCUCAAGUGCCCUCAAUACCCAGAGAAGUAACUGAAAUAAAUGGAACAGAUAGGUUGUGAGCAAAGUUCACACGUUCCUCUAAGAAAAACAAUACAGCAAACAUGGUGAUUUAUGUUCAUUAAUAAGUUUCCGUAUGGGGACACUAAGGAAUAGUGGGGACUAUGGCAAAUUAGAGGAAGCAUGAGAAUCUAAAGUGGCUCCAGGAGACUGUUGUCUCAUAGGUAUCAGUGUUGCUAGACCUUCACUUUUUUUAAAGAAGGUGAAAGUUGGGAUUUUCU